rnacentral:sRNA from 1 species
CUGGCCGCCCCUGCAGACAGAAGGCCUCUGGUUAUCCACAGGGCAGGUAGGCUGCAACAAGGCAAGCUUCCCCCACAUUGUCCUGCCCAUAUGCCCAACCCAGAUCUGGCGAGGCCACCUCUACCAUGGAGAAGGGAAUAGCAUUUACAUAUCCCAGCCAGCUCUUGGCCUCU